GUAAAGGCCCUUUUUAGGGCCACGCACAAUUUGAUUUGACUUCUUU
rfam:Schistosoma mansoni strain Puerto Rico chromosome 2, complete genome